CCCUUAGACGUUCUGGGCCGCACGCGCGCUACACUGAUGCAUUCAACGAGUUUCUUCCUGGUCCGAGAGGAAUGGGUAACCUUUUGAAAGUGCAUCGUGAUAGGGAUAGACUAUUGCAAUUAUUGGUCUUCAACGAGGAAUUCCUAGUAGACGUAGUUCAUCAGACUGCAUCGAUUACGUCCCUGCCCUUUGUACACACCGCCCGCCGCUCCUACCGAUUGAAUGCUCAGGUGAGCCAUUCGGACUUUCAUCAUGCUGGUUUCCAGUUUUGAUGAAGGAAAGUCUUGCGAACCUUAUCAUUUAGAGGAAGGAGAAGUCGUAACA
rnacentral:rRNA from 1 species